rnacentral:rRNA from 1 species
GGGUUGUGAGGUUAAGCGACCAAGCGUACACGGUGGAUGCCCUGGCAGUCAGAGGCGAUGAAGGACGUGCUAAUCUGCGAAAAGCGCCGGUAAGGUGAUAUGAACCGUUAUAACCGGCGAUGUCCGAAUGGGGAAACCCAGUGUGACUCGUCACACUAUCAUUAACUGAAUCCAUAGGUUAAUGAGGCGAACCGGGGGAACUGAAACAUCUAAGUACCCCGAGGAAAAGAAAUCAACCGAGAUUCCCCCAGUAGCGGCGAGCGAACGGGGAGGAGCCCAGAGCCUGAAUCAGCAUGUGUGUUAGUGGAAGCGUCUGGAAAGGCGCGCGAUACAGGGUGAGAGCCCCGUACACAAAAGCGCAUAUGCUGUGAGCUCGAUGAGUAGGGCGGGACACGUGGUAUCCUGUCUGAAUAUGGGGGGACCAUCCUCCAAGGCUAAAUACUCCUGACUGACCGAUAGUGAACCAGUACCGUGAGGGAAAGGCGAAAAGAACCCCGGCGAGGGGAGUGAAACAGAACCUGAAACCGUGUACGUACAAGCAGUGGGAGCCUCUCUUUAUGGGGGGUGACUGCGUACCUUUUGUAUAAUGGGUCAGCGACUUAUAUUCUGUAGCAAGGUUAACCGCAUAGGGGAGCCGAAGGGAAACCGAGUCUUAACCGGGCGUUAAGUUGCAGGGUAUAGACCCGAAACCCGGUGAUCUAGCCAUGGGCAGGUUGAAGGUUGGGUAACACUAACUGGAGGACCGAACCGACUAAUGUUGAAAAAUUAGCGGAUGACCUGUGGCUGGGGGUGAAAGGCCAAUCAAACCGGGAGAUAGCUGGUUCUCCCCGAAAGCUAUUUAGGUAGCGCCUCGUGAACUCAUCUCCGGGGGUAGAGCACUGUUUCGGCUAGGGGGCCAUCCCGGCUUACCAACCCGAUGCAAACUGCGAAUACCGGAGAAUGUUAUCACGGGAGACACACGGCGGGUGCUAACGUCCGUCGUGAAGAGGGAAACAACCCAGACCGCCAGCUAAGGUCCCAAAGUCAUGGUUAAGUGGGAAACGAUGUGGGAAGGCCCAGACAGCCAGGAUGUUGGCUUAGAAGCAGCCAUCAUUUAAAGAAAGCGUAAUAGCUCACUGGUCGAGUCGGCCUGCGCGGAAGAUGUAACGGGGCUAAACCAUGCACCGAAGCUGCGGCAGCGACACUUUAGUGUUGUUGGGUAGGGGAGCGUUCUGUAAGCCGUUGAAGGUGUCCUGUGAGGGGUGCUGGAGGUAUCAGAAGUGCGAAUGCUGACAUAAGUAACGAUAAAGCGGGUGAAAAGCCCGCUCGCCGGAAGACCAAGGGUUCCUGUCCAACGUUAAUCGGGGCAGGGUGAGUCGACCCCUAAGGCGAGGCCGAAAGGCGUAGUCGAUGGGAAACGGGUUAAUAUUCCCGUACUUGGUGUUACUGCGAAGGGGGGACGGAGAAGGCUAUGUUGGCCGGGCGACGGUAGUCCCGGUUUAAGCGUGUAGGCUGGUUUUCCAGGCAAAUCCGGAAAAUCAAGGCUGAGGCGUGAUGACGAGGCACCACGGUGCUGAAGCAACAAAUGCCCUGCUUCCAGGAAAAGCCUCUAAGCAUCAGGUAACAUCAAAUCGUACCCCAAACCGACACAGGUGGUCAGGUAGAGAAUACCAAGGCGCUUGAGAGAACUCGGGUGAAGGAACUAGGCAAAAUGGUGCCGUAACUUCGGGAGAAGGCACGCUGACACGUAGGUGAAGUGAUUUACUCAUGGAGCUGAAGUCAGUCGAAGAUACCAGCUGGCUGCAACUGUUUAUUAAAAACACAGCACUGUGCAAACACGAAAGUGGACGUAUACGGUGUGACGCCUGCCCGGUGCCGGAAGGUUAAUUGAUGGGGUCAGCGCAAGCGAAGCUCCUGAUCGAAGCCCCGGUAAACGGCGGCCGUAACUAUAACGGUCCUAAGGUAGCGAAAUUCCUUGUCGGGUAAGUUCCGACCUGCACGAAUGGCGUAAUGAUGGCCAGGCUGUCUCCACCCGAGACUCAGUGAAAUUGAACUCGCUGUGAAGAUGCAGUGUACCCGCGGCAAGACGGAAAGACCCCGUGAACCUUUACUAUAGCUUGACACUGAACAUUGAGCCUUGAUGUGUAGGAUAGGUGGGAGGCUUUGAAGCGUGGACGCCAGUCUGCGUGGAGCCGACCUUGAAAUACCACCCUUUAAUGUUUGAUGUUCUAACGUGGACCCGUAAUCCGGGUUGCGGACAGUGUCUGGUGGGUAGUUUGACUGGGGCGGUCUCCUCCUAAAGAGUAACGGAGGAGCACGAAGGUUGGCUAAUCCUGGUCGGACAUCAGGAGGUUAGUGCAAUGGCAUAAGCCAGCUUGACUGCGAGCGUGACGGCGCGAGCAGGUGCGAAAGCAGGUCAUAGUGAUCCGGUGGUUCUGAAUGGAAGGGCCAUCGCUCAACGGAUAAAAGGUACUCCGGGGAUAACAGGCUGAUACCGCCCAAGAGUUCAUAUCGACGGCGGUGUUUGGCACCUCGAUGUCGGCUCAUCACAUCCUGGGGCUGAAGUAGGUCCCAAGGGUAUGGCUGUUCGCCAUUUAAAGUGGUACGCGAGCUGGGUUUAGAACGUCGUGAGACAGUUCGGUCCCUAUCUGCCGUGGGCGCUGGAAGACUGAGGGGGGCUGCUCCUAGUACGAGAGGACCGGAGUGGACGCAUCACUGGUGUUCGGGUUGUCAUGCCAAUGGCACUGCCCGGUAGCUAAAUGCGGAAAAGAUAAGUGCUGAAAGCAUCUAAGCACGAAACUUGCCCCGAGAUGAGUCUUCCCUGAGACUUUGAGUCUCCUGAAGGAACGUUAAAGACGAUGACGUUGAUAGGCCGGGUGUGUAAGCGCAGCGAUGCGUUGAGCUAACCGGUACUAAUGAACCGUGAGGCUUAACCUUACAACGCCGAAGCUGUU